rnacentral:rRNA from 1 species
AGAGUUUGAUCCUGGCUCAGGAUGAACGCCGUCGGUGUGCCUAAUACAUGCAAGUCGUACGCACUGGCCCAACUGAUUGAUGGUGCUUGCACCUGAUUGACGUUGGAUCACCAGUGAGUGGCGGACGGGUGAGUAACACGUAGGUAACCUGCCCCGGAGAGGGGGAUAACAUUUGGAAACAGAUGCUAAUACCGCAUAACAACAAAAGCCACAUGGCUUUUGUUUGAAAGAUGGCUUUGGCUAUCACUCUGGGAUGGACCUGCGGUGCAUUAGCUAGUUGGUAAGGUAACGGCUUACCAAGGCGAUGAUGCAUAGCCGAGUUGAGAGACUGAUCGGCCACAAUGGAACUGAGACACGGUCCAUACUCCUACGGGAGGCAGCAGUAGGGAAUCUUCCACAAUGGGCGCAAGCCUGAUGGAGCAACACCGCGUGAGUGAAGAAGGGUUUCGGCUCGUAAAGCUCUGUUGUUGGAGAAGAACGUGCGUGAGAGUAACUGUUCACGCAGUGACGGUAUCCAACCAGAAAGUCACGGCUAACUACGUGCCAGCAGCCGCGGUAAUACGUAGGUGGCAAGCGUUAUCCGGAUUUAUUGGGCGUAAAGCGAGCGCAGGCGGUUGCUUAGGUCUGAUGUGAAAGCCUUCGGCUUAACCGAAGAAGUGCAUCGGAAACCGGGCGACUUGAGUGCAGAAGAGGACAGUGGAACUCCAUGUGUAGCGGUGGAAUGCGUAGAUAUAUGGAAGAACACCAGUGGCGAAGGCGGCUGUCUGGUCUGCAACUGACGCUGAGGCUCGAAAGCAGGGGUAGCGAACAGGAUUAGAUACCCUGGUAGUCCAUGCCGUAAACGAUGAGUGCUAGGUGUUGGAGGGUUUCCGCCCUUCAGUGCCGGAGCUAACGCAUUAAGCACUCCGCCUGGGGAGUACGACCGCAAGGUUGAAACUCAAAGGAAUUGACGGGGGCCCGCACAAGCGGUGGAGCAUGUGGUUUAAUUCGAAGCUACGCGAAGAACCUUACCAGGUCUUGACAUCUUGCGCUAACCUUAGAGAUAAGGCGUUCCCUUCGGGGACGCAAUGACAGGUGGUGCAUGGUCGUCGUCAGCUCGUGUCGUGAGAUGUUGGGUUAAGUCCCGCAACGAGCGCAACCCUUGUUACUAGUUGCCAGCAUUAAGUUGGGCACUCUAGUGAGACUGCCGGUGACAAACCGGAGGAAGGUGGGGACGACGUCAGAUCAUCAUGCCCCUUAUGACCUGGGCUACACACGUGCUACAAUGGACGGUACAACGAGUCGCAAGCUCGCGAGAGUAAGCUAAUCUCUUAAAGCCGUUCUCAGUUCGGACUGUAGGCUGCAACUCGCCUACACGAAGUCGGAAUCGCUAGUAAUCGCGGAUCAGCAUGCCGCGGUGAAUACGUUCCCGGGCCUUGCACACACCGCCCGUCA